CAGCAGCCGCGGGAAUACGAGGGGGGCAAGCGUUGUUCGGAAUUAUUGGGCGUAAAGGGUGCGUAGGCGGUUCAGCAAGUCUCGUGUGAAAUCUUCGGGCUCAACCCGAAGUCUGCACGGGAAACUACUGGGCUUGAGUAAUGGAGAGGUGAGUGGAAUUUCCGGUGUAGCGGUGAAAUGCGUAGAUAUCGGAAGGAACACAUGUGGCGAAAGCGGCUCACUGGACAUUUACUGACGCUGAUGCACGAAAGCUAGGGGAGCAAACAGGAUUAGAUACCCCUGUAGUCCCUGUCUCUUAUAC
rnacentral:rRNA from 1 species